rnacentral:rRNA from 1 species
UACGUAGGGGGCAAGCGUUGUCCGGAUUUAUUGGGCGUAAAGAGCGUGUAGGCGGCCAAGCAGGUCAGCUGUGAAAACUCGAGGCUCAACCUCGAGACGUCGGUUGAAACCGCUUGGCUAGAGUCCGGAAGAGGAGAGUGGAAUUCCCGGUGUAGCGGUGAAAUGCGCAGAUAUCAGGAAGAACCCCCGUGGCGAAGGCAGCUCUCUGGGACGGUACUGACGCUGAGACGCGAAAGCGUGGGGAGCGAACAGG